rnacentral:rRNA from 1 species
AUGAACGCUGACAGAAUGCUUAACACAUGCAAGUCAACUUGAACUUCGGUUUGGGUGGCGGACGGGUGAGUAACGCGUAAAGAACUUGCCUCACAGUUAGGGACAACAUUUGGAAACGAAUGCUAAUACCUGAUAUUAUGAUUUUAGGGCAUCCUAGAAUUAUGAAAGCUAUAUGCGCUGUGAGAGAGCUUUGCGUCCCAUUAGCUAGUUGGAGAGGUAACGGCUCACCAAGGCGAUGAUGGGUAGCCGGCCUGAGAGGGUGAACGGCCACAGGGGGACUGAGACACGGCCCUUACUCCUACGGGAGGCAGCAGUGGGGAAUAUUGGACAAUGGACCAAGAGUCUGAUCCAGCAAUUCUGUGUGCACGAUGAAGUUUUUCGGAAUGUAAAGUGCUUUCAGUUGGGAAGAAAAAAAUGACGGUACCAACAGAAGAAGUGACGGCUAAAUACGUG